AGAAAUACCUAGAAGUGGAAUAGCUGGAUCACAGGAUAGUUCUAUUCUUAAUUUUUUGAGGAGCCUCCAUACUGUUUUCCAUAGUGGCUGCACCAGUUUACAUUCCCACCAACAAUGGUUCCCUUUUCUCUACAUUCUCUCCAACAUUUGUUAUUUCUGGUCUCUUUGAUGAUAGCCAUUUGGACAGGCAUGAAACUGGACAGCCACAGGCAAAUAAUGAAACUAGGAGUUCCCGUUGUGGCUCAGAAGGUCAAUGUUGUCUCUGUGAAGAUUUGGGUUCAAUACCUGGUCUAGCUCAGUGGCUUAAGGAUCCGGCAUUGCCACAAGCUGAAGCAUAGGUUGCAGAUGUGGCUUGGACUUGAUGUUGCUGUGGCUGUGGCAUAGGCCAGCAGCUGCAGCUCUGAUUCGACCCCUGGCCUGGUAACUUCCAUAAACUGCAGGUGCAGCUGUAGAAAAAAAAAAAAAAAAAAAAAAAAGAACGAAACUAGACCACUACACAUAAACAUUACCUCAAAAUGGAUUAAAGACCUAAAUGUAACACCUCAAACUAUGAAAUGCCUAGAAGAAAACACAGGUGGUGCCCUCACUUUCAUCAGUCUUAGUGAUGUUUUUGUGCUUCUGACUGCCCAGGCAAGGGCGACAAGAUCCCAGAUAAACAAAUAGGACAACAUCAAACCAAGAAACCUCUUUGCAGUCAGGGAGACUAUCAUAAAUCUGAAAAGGCAGCUUGCUGAAUGAGAGCAUAUAUUUGUGAACCAUUUAUCUGAUAAGGAUUAAUAUCCAAAAUAUAUGAAGAAUUCAUGCAGCCUAACAACAACAACAACAAAACCCAGACAACCUGGUUGAAAAAUAGGCAGAGGACCUAACAUUUUUUUUCCAAAAAAGACCUACAGGUGGCCAACAGGCAAGUGGAGGGAUGCUCAGCAUCAUUAAUCAUCAAGGAAAGGUAAAUUAAAACACAAGGAUUUUUUUUAAGGGCCACACCUGUGGCAUAUGGAAGUUCCUAGGCUAGGGGCUGAGUUAGAGCUGCAGCUGAAGACUAUGUAUGCCACAGCCACAGCAACACCGGAUCCAAGCCACAUCUGCAACAUACACUGCAGCUUGCGGCAAUGCUGGAUCCAUAACCCAUUGAGCGAGGCCAGGAAUUGAACCCACAUCCUCAUGGAUACUAGUCAGGUUCUUAACCUGCUGAACUACAACGGAAACUCCCACAAGGAGAUGAAAUUUCCAUUUCCAAUAUCUUUGAAAAGGAGAAGUUACUAGAUGUACAUAGAAAUGGCAAAACUGGGGAUGUUUGGGGAAAUCCAGUUCCUCCAACGUUGGAGAGGCAACCUGUGCUCUAGGCCCAAACUUCAGACUACGGUUAGACUAGGUUCUGGGGUCUUACCUUUGGUUGGGGCCGCAAGACAGACUGUCUGGGCAUAAUGGUAUUUGUGCGGAAAUGUCCAGUUAAAACAGGUCUUAAUGUUGUUACUCUUCAUGACUAAAGCAAUUAUGUAUUUUAAAUUCCAUUUUAUUUAUUUAUUUUUUCAAAGCAGAAAAGUCAAAAUGGAAUGGGCUCUGUUGAUAUUGAACUCUUAAUGCUAAUUACAGUCAAAUGAUCAUUAGUUCUGUCCUGGGUCUGCCAGGAAGUGCGUGUGAUGCUGGCGUGCCAGCUCCACCACGAUGGGACCUAGGCAGUAAUGGCAAGGGCAGUAAAAAGCAAAAAAGAAUGCUGUUGGCAAGGGCUUCAGAAACUGCUGAGAAACCGACUCUCAGCUGUGGCAUAUGGGUCUUGAGGGCGUGAGUCCAUUUCACUCCGGUAUCUUGGCAAACCCAGACCUUGGAAUGGAGCUUUCAUUUGUCCUAAACUAAGACAAAAGAGGCUGCUGGUGUGGCUGUACUCAGAAGAAUCUUUGGGGCCCCCAUCUGCACUAUGCUAUUGUUUGUCAGGGCUCUUUAGCUUGCAGAUGACAGAAAACCAGUGCAAAGUAGCUUAAGCAAAAAUGGGAGUUAAGUGACUCUUGUACAUGAAGAGAGCAUAUUCUGACUUCAGGAACAGCUUGAUCCCAAGCUCUGACAGGAUUUGGGGUUUCUGAGUCCAUUUCCUCUUUUAAUCUGUGUCCCUUAACCAUGCACUUAGGGUUCUCAGACGUGUUGCUAUCUCCCCAUUGACUUGACAUCUCUACAAUUAGGCUCAAAAGGCAACAGAACUUUAUACUCUCAGUUCUUGGGCUCCAUACUUUUCACUCGUGGAGAGGAUCCACCCAAAUCUUAACACCCUUCUUUUAGAAGCCAUUUCCUGAAGCCAUUUCCAGGAUCAAGAGUUUUCAGGUUCAGCUGAAUUUAUUCCCCAUGUAAGAGUGACCAUGCUUUUCAAGCAACUGGGGUAAGAAAAAAAAAAAAAUUCACUCAUCCUUUGCUGAAAGACCACCUCUUCUUCUUUACAGAGGUGCACUUUUGAACUUGCAGGCCUCUUUAUCCAGCCAGAUCUCAGAGCACAUUGCUUUCCUACUCAUUGCUAACACAAUGGGAUCCUAGUUUGUAGGUUUCCACAUGCUCUCCAUGGCUAGAUGGGUGGUCCACUCUGGAUCACUUAGAGAUCUGUUAUGAGUUGAAUUGUAUUUCCCCUAGAAUGUUAGAGGUCUGACCCCCCAGUACCUGAAAAUGUGACUUUAUUUGAAAAUGGGAUCUUUUUUUCUUCCUUCCUUCUCUCUUCCUCCCUCCAUUCCUUCCUCCCUCCCUUCCUUCUUUCCUUGUUUCUCCCUCCCUUCUUUCCUUCCCCUUCCUUCCUUCCCAUUCCUUCCUUCUUUCUUUCGUUUCUAUUAAAGUCUAGUUGAUUUACAAUGUGGUGCCAAUUUCUGCUGUACAGCAAAGUGACUCAGUUAUACAUAUAUAUCCCAGGAGAUGGGAUAGAGUUCCCUGUGCUAUACAGUAGGACCUCAUUGCUUAUCCAUUUAAAAUACAAAAUGUGCAUCUACUAACCCUAAACUCCAGUCCCUCCCACUCCUUCGCUUCUCCCCCUUGGCAACCACAAGUCUGUUCUCCAUGUCUAUGAGUCUGUUUCUGUUAUGUAGAUGGGUUCAUUUGUGCCAUGUUUUAGAUUUCACAUAGAAAUGAUGUCAUAUGGUAUUUGUCCUCUCUUUCUGACUUACUUCACCAGUAUGAUAUGAAGAUGGGGGUCUUUGUGGACGUAAUUGAUCAAAAGGAGGUCAUUAGGGUGGGCCCUGGUGUCCCUAUAAAAGGGAGAGUUUGGACACAAACACGCACACUGGAAAAGGGCAUGUGCAGCUGAGGCAGAGAUGGGGUGAUGUGUCUAUGAGUUGAGGAACGCUGCCAAUGGACCACCAGGACCUGGGGAGGGGCACAGACAGAUCCCCUCUCAUGCCUCAGAAGGAGCCACCCCUGCUGGGGCAUCUUAAUCUUGGAUUUCAGCCUCCAGAACUGGGGGACUCUUAGCCACGAAGUUUGUGGUACCUUUUUUUUUUUUUUUUUUUGGCAGCCCUGCAGACGCAAACAGCAGAACCUAACUCUGGUGAUCUCAAGAAGAGUCAUUUUCUAGAAGAAAAAAUGGGAAGGAGAGGCCUGGAGAGCCAGGGAGUAGAUAUGAAUGGAAGGCCCCUCAGGAUGCUUCCCCUGGGAGGGACCCCAGGAUAGAUGUGCUGCAGCCAUUGGUUUUGUGUUUGGGUGUCUCUGUUCGAGAUUUAAAUUCAGACUGACAAAUAAAUGUCUGAAUAAUCUUUAUUCAGAUUUAUAAGGACUGCCUGCUUAAUCAGGCUGACCUGGGUCUCUUUCUAGCCCUGUCACUGGUUCUCACCAGACCACAUUCAAAGCAAAGCCAGAUGCUUUGGCCGGAAGAAAGGUGAGCACAACCUCCUAGUGUCCUUUACGCCCUGUUGCUCUUCAGAUCCAGAUGCCCCUUUGUCUCUCUUUUCUUGCAUCAAAUCAUAGUGUUGGUGGCACAUCCCGGGGAAAUGCUGCUGUGUCCGGUAUGUUGGGGUUCCUAACGCCUCCAGGAGCCUCCUAGGGGGAGGGUUUUGUCUCCUGUGCCUUGUGUUGGCUCCUCAGUUCAAAGGGCCAGGGAUCCGGCUGCUGCCACCUCCUCACUUACGCUGUCCCAGUUGCCAUGCCCAGCCUUCAGGCAUUUUUGACUUGCUGUCCAGCCAGGGCUUGUCCCCAUCACCAAUUAGUAACCAGGCAACAGAGCCUUUGCCACUGGCAGAUGCUAUCAACAGAGAGCAGCCAGCUGCCCGGUUCAAAUGAAAGGGCUUUCUGAGAGGAGAUUGAUAAGGGUACAUGGCCACAGGUGGAGCUUAAUUUUUAACCUGUGGCCCUGGACGAGAUCUGGUUCCCAUGACGACAUGGCUUUGUCAGAUGAAGGCCAUGGAUGAAGUCAGUGACUAGGGAAAGUAGAGGCUGUUCACAUUAAAAAUCUUCUAGGCAGUUCAUCCAGAACUGUGGCUUCUAAAAUCCUGACUUGAUUGAGUUCCCUAUUUGAUGGGCGCUGGUAAUGCAUGUACAAAAGCUCCACUCUGUAAACUGGGGAAUUUUAGGUUUCUUUGAACUUGAGGGGUCUGUUCCCCAGGAGGUAAGAAAUCCAUCAUGACCAGGUAGGUAAAAGUCAUCAUUAUUUCAGUCUUGGAAGUAAUGAGGGUACAAAAUGCUCCAUAAUGUGCUGUGAUGAUAGGUUUUGUGAAACACUUAUUUUAUUCCAUAGGACUCCAUGCUCCCUGAAACCACAUUAAUUUGUUUGGGUGCCUGUGGUCUGUGUGACCUACUAUAAUAGAGACUUCACCAGGGCAGGGGAUUUGCCUUAUUUAUUCGGUUUUCCAAGCACCCAGAAUGUUUUCCCUGACACAUAGUAAACACAUCUAUUUGUUGACUAAUUGAUUGGAUGAUUGAAUGAAUCAUUAAAUGAGUGAAUGAAUACUAACAUAUUGGAAAAGCAUAUUUUUUUUUCCAGUUUUACCAAUUUGGUGCCAUAAAUCGAAGGUAAUUUCUGAGUAAUUUUAAAAAAUAG
rnacentral:lncRNA from 1 species